rnacentral:misc_RNA from 1 species
CCAAACUUGGUCAUUUAGAGGAAGUAAAAGUCGUAACAAGGUUUCCGUAGGUGAACCUGCGGAAGGAUCAUUCAUGUGAUUUCUUAAACACCCAACCUUUUGUUAACUAUUAGUUAAACGGUGCUACUGUUUUUUAAUGUGUUUUUCUUUUGUUGGCUGCGUUUUCUUUCAUCUUCAUUCUCUAUUUUUUCUAUAAGCACUUUAAUCCAGUCUUUAGAAAAAUGAGUUAAAGAAAUGAUAAAUGCUACCUUUUUUUUACCUUUUUAAAUUUACCACAAAUUUUAACCAUAGUUAUAAUACUUAAAACCUAUUACAACUUUUAACGAUGGAUCCCUCGGCUCUCACAUCGAUGAAGAACGCAGC